AGAUAGCUGGUUCUCUCCGAAAUAGCUUUAGGGCUAGCCUCGUGGAGAGGAUAAUGGAGGUAGAGCUCUGUUUGGACUAGGGGCCCGUCAGGGGUUACUGAAUCCAGAUAAACUGCGAAUUCCAUAUAUCCAUACACGGGAGUCAGACUGCGAGUGAUAAGAUCCGUAGUCGAAAGGGAAACAGCCCAGAUCACCAGUUAAGGUCCCCAAAUCUAUGCUAAGUGGAAAAGGAUGUGGAGUUGCGUAGACAACUAGGACGUUGGCUCAGAAGCAGCCAUCAUUCAAAGAGUGCGUAAUAGCUCACUAGUCGAGUGGCGCUGCGCCGAAAAUUUACCGGGGCUAAGCAUAGUACCGAAACUGUGGAUGCAUCGAAAGAUGCGUGGUAGGAGAGCGUUCUAAGUGCGGCGAAGGUUAACCGAGAGGAUAAUUGGAGCGCUUAGAAGUGAGAAUGCCGGUAUGAGUAGCGAAAGACAGGUGAGAAUCCUGUCCGCCGAAAGACUAAGGUUUCCUGGGGCAGGCUCGUCCGCCCAGGGUAAGUCGGGACCUAAGGCAAGGCCGAGAGGCGUAGUCGAUGGAUAACAGGUAGAAAUUCCUGUACUGUGUUUAAUCGUUAUGAGCGAUGGAGGGACGCAGGAGGUGAAACACGCAUCGAGCUGGAUCGAUGUUCAAGCAACAAGUGCGGUUAAGAGUCAAAUGCUUCUAACCAGCAACACGAGUUGUGAUGAGUAGCGAAGUAAUAGUAGCGAAGGUGAUGUAAUCACACUGCCAAGAAAAGCUUCUAGCCAGAGAGGACACACCCGUACCGCAAACCGACACAGGUAGUCGAGUGGAGAACACUAAGGUGAGCGAGAGAACUCUCGUUAAGGAACUCGGCAAAAUGACCCCGUAACUUCGGAAGAAGGGGUGCUGGCCACGAGAGUGGUUAGCCGCAGUGAAUAGGCCCAAACAACUGUUUAUCAAAAACACAGGUCUCUGCAAAAUCGUAAGAUGACGUAUAGAGGCUGACACCUGCCCGGUGCUGGAAGGUUAAGAGGAGAGCUUAGCGAAAGCGAAGGUUCGAAUUGAAGCCCCAGUAAACGGCGGCCGUAACUAUAACGGUCCUAAGGUAGCGAAAUUCCUUGUCGGGUAAGUUCCGACCUGCACGAAAGGUGUAAUGAUUUGGGCACUGUCUCAACGAGAGACUCGGUGAAAUUAUAAUACCCGUGAAGAUGCGGGUUACCCGCGACAGGACGGAAAGACCCCAUGGAGCUUCACUGUAGCUUGAUAUUGAGUAUCUUUUAAACAUGUACAGGAUAGGUAGGAGCCAAGGAAGGCAGGACGCUAGUUUUGCUGGAGGCAAUGUUGGGAUACUACCCUUGUUUGAAGGAUGCUCUAACCUCGACCUGUAAGCCAGGUCAGGGACAGUGUCAGGUGGGCAGUUUGACUGGGGCGGUCGCCUCCUAAAGUGUAACGGAGGCGCUCAAAGGUUCCCUCAGAAUGGUUGGAAAUCAUUCGCAGAGUGUAAAGGUAUAAGGGAGCUUGACUGCGAGAGAAACAGCUCGAGCAGGGACGAAAGUCGGACUUAGUGAUCUGGUGGUACCGUAUGGAAGGGCCAUCACUCAACGGAUAAAAGCUACCCUGGGGAUAACAGGCUUAUCUCCCCCAAGAGUUCACAUCGACGGGGAGGUUUGGCACCUCGAUGUCGG
rnacentral:rRNA from 1 species